rnacentral:rRNA from 1 species
CGAGCGUUGUCCGGAAUUACUGGGCGUAAAGGGCGCGUAGGCGGUUUGGCAAGUCACAUGUGAAAUAUCCGGGCUUAACCCGGAGGGUGCAUCCGAUACGGUCAGUCUUGAGUGCAGGAGAGGGCAGUGGAAUUCCCAGUGUAGCGGUGAAAUGCGUAGAGAUUGGGAGGAACACCAGUGGCGAAGGCGGCUGCCUGGACUGUAACUGACACUGAGGCGCGAAAGCGUGGGGAGC